GGGGGGGGGGGGGGACAAUACCUGAACUAUUGUCCGAAUUAAAGUGCUUAAGCUUCAUGAUGUAUGUUUAUGCGAAUACAGUCUUACUUAUCCAACAUUCGCUUAUCCAACAUUCUGGAUUAUCCAAUGCAGUCUGCCUCCCACCUGGAUUCAUAGCUGUUUCUCUAGGCAGCAAGGACUGAACUUUUUACACAUUUAAUUUCUGACAAUGUUGUUACUGUAAGUUCAUUUUAUGCAAUUCUAUCUUUAUUUGUAGUCAAUUUUUUUAGUAGCCAAUGUUUUUGUAGUGAAUGUAUUCAAUACAUUGUGAUGUUUUGGUGCUAAAUUCAUAAAAACAGUAAUUAUUACAUAACGUUACCGUGUAAUGAACUUUUUUUUUCCGAUCGAUUUGUUGUAAAACAUGUUUUGGUGCUCAAUUAGUAAAAUCAUAACGUAAUUUAACAUUUAAUAGGCUUUUCCUUAAUCCCUCCUUAUUAUCCAACAUUUUCGCUUAUUCAAUGUUUUGCUGGCCCAUUUAUUUAUUUAUUUAAUACAUUUACAUCCCACCCUUCUCACCCCGAAGGGGACUCAGAGCAGCUUACAAAUUAAAUUUAUUACAUACAAUAUUAUAUUAUUACCGUAGCACAAUACUGGCAAUAAAUUACCAUAUUUUACUGUAUCUAUAUAUUGUAAUAUUAUUAAUAAUAUUACAUGUAAUAUAUAAUAUAUAAUUAAUAUUAUUAUAUUGUAUUAUUAGUAUUAUAUUGUAUUACAAAAUAAUAUUAUUAAUAUUAUACGCAUAUACAAUAUAUUAUAAUAGUUUAUGUUGGAUAACUGAGACUCUACUGUAUAAGAAAGAGCUUAACCCUUUUGAUUCCCUUCCACCACCACCCCCCUCAGACUCUCUUGGUGCAAACAAACAAGUUUUCAACCUGAAGGAAUGUCAUGUACAAGAUAGAGCCAGCUUGUUUUGUGUUGCUCCAGAGAUUAAACUGAGAACCAAAGGAUAUGUGAAGUUACUCAGCCGAACUCAGCAGGCACACCAAGCACCUUGUGACAGACUUCCCUACUCUGCAUCCCAUAAUUUUGCAGGUAGCCCUUUCCUCCCAUUGCAAGGGAAGGACGAUGGUCCAUGGUUACCAUACAGAGAACGCUGUUUCUAUGGCAACCCCUUCUCUGGAAGAGAUGCUCUUCUGGCUUCCAUGGCAACCGUGCUGGGUCAACCACCUUCAGGAGAUAACUGCGUUCUUGUGGAUGCACGGUAGGAAGUCUCCCGCUGAGUUUGCUCGUCCCUUUCUGCGCUGCUGUCUUGAGAUCAGCCCAGAGAACCAAGGCAUGCUGAAAUAGUCCCAUAAAUUGUUAAACAGGAGCAAAGGCAAACAAGGCCAACUCUCUCGGGGCUGCACCCAUUUCGUAACUACUUAAUAGACCUUUUGCUUAAAAAAACCAACCUUCAUUAUUUUGAAUUUGGGCAUUGCACCUCUCCAACACAGCACUUAGUGAACCCCAUUUUCCCUUUCAGAAAAAAAAAAUCCACCAAGAGAUGGGCAAAACUACAUCACAUUGCAGAGAAGGACUGAGACAUGCUUUUCUUCUGGUGUUCUUCAGCUUGCCAUGGAAACACGCUGCUAGCUGGGAGAUGCCACUGGGCGGAGAGGAAAUGCCCAGCUUCCUAUCCUGCUGCCAAACCCACAAGGCCUGCCCUCCAUCAACCACUGGCCAAAUUGGGGAAGACACCCACAAGAAGCAUGCUUUCCCCCCUCUUUUCAGGGAAGAUGAGGCCCAACCUCCUGGCAAUUUGGGUUCUGAAGCAAUGGAUACAGAUUUAAGGGGGUGUCUUCUCUCUGACCCACUUUGGGGAGGCUUUACCAGGUGUGGAGAUGUUGUUUUUAUUUAAUUAUAUAUAUAUUAUAAUAUUACCGCUGCCACCAGUGUAAAGAUGUUUAUUUAAACGCUGCCACCAAAUUAUAAAGUCUUUAUAAUGCUGC